CCGGCGGCCUGGCGAGCGCUUCUUGCCCCUUCGCACCCGCCCGGCCCGUCUAGUGGCGGCCCUUCGCCCCACGGCUCCUGCGAGGUGGCGAGCUGCCUCCUCCCUUACUGGCAGCAUCUGAGCACCCUCAUCCAGCUGCUCAACCCUGUUCUCUGUUGGGAUCAUUGGGCUCAUCUCAGCCCUGGAGCCAAAGAUCUUGGUUGUCUCCUAACGCAGCCAGACACUGCUAGCUCCCACCGUGCCAUUCAAACAAGUAAAUAGAGGGGAAUCUGUGCUUUAUACAAAGUUUUAGACAGAUGCUGCAAAUGCUUAGCUGAUGACAAAAUGUUAGACAGUAAGCAAACAUAUUAGCUAGCAGCUGCAGCAGUGUGGGGGUAGAGCUGCUGUCUGCCAAGGCUGAACCAGAAUGAGACAUGAAAAUCCAUGUUCGGGCGAGGUUACUGCUUAGCUGCAGCAGCACAAAGCUGGAAUUAAUGGAGACUUUCAUUUUAUUGCUAAAUACUAGCAACGUUUCCCUCGAGAGCUUUUUGCAUCCUUAAAGAAAAUAUGGUGGGUAAAUGAUUUCUGCGUCCCAAGGAAUCUCUGAGGCUUUGGUGGGGGGUCACGCAGUGGAAAAGCGUGGCUUGUUGCUGGCGCUGGAGAGCUCUUUGGGGCAAUGGGGCUGGUUUGACAGGAGCUUUCGGGACAGCGCUGGGCGAGUCACUUGGAGGACACCGUGGGAAAUAGAUGCAGUUAUUCUGAGGAGCUUGGGAGUUUGCACACCAGACUAGUAUGAGAGAGGAAAAGGAUAUGGGGUGUGGCUGGAGCAAUCUGGGAAGCAGCCAUGUCUUGGGGGGGAAAAAGGUGCUGACCUUUAUGGGGGAAUCAUUGUUCAUUUGUGUUAAUAACACCGCACCGCCCAGGAGGGAGGAGGUUGGCCCCCACGCUGGGUCUGCGUGGGAAGAGCUGUUUGGGAGCGGUGGAUCCUCUCUCCAGAUAAUCCAGCACAGUUGUAUGGAAAGGUGUGGUGUCACGGGAUUCGUCUCCUUCUGGGUGCUUCUCCUGCCUGUGCAGCCUGGCACUGUGUUCGCUGCUGCUGCAAACUGGGGGGCCCCGGCUGUAGCUGGGCACGGGGGGGACCCUGGGGAGACUGCGGUACCCGUGCUGCUUCAGGGUAUGGUUCUGCAUUGUGUGCAACAGAGACUGUUCUUGGUUUGUCACUGGACCUGCCAGUGGUAACAGAGAUGGCUCUGGAUUUCCCAGUGGAACAACUUAGGCUGCUUUUUUAUCUUUGGGCAACUCAGAGGGAAGAAAUAGGCCAGGAAGAGAUGGGUCAUGCAGGAGUGCUUUGGGGCAAGAAAAGGUAGCAGGGAAGAGCAGAGCAAGAAGUGAUACAAUAAACCAGAGUAAUUCCUGGUGGUAACUGGUGAGGGCUGCAGCAGUGUGGGAAAGCAUCGGUCUCCUUACAGCUGUCAAAGUCUGAGCUUCCUUUUCAUGCACAAGUAAUAGAUUACUCCAAAAUUAGCCUCCCUCCUUUUUCCAGUAACCAGGUCCUUCGUUCUGCAGAGCCCUUUCCAUUCCUGUGAGCUUGCCUGGCUGUAAACCACAUGCUCUACACGAUGUAAUGAUGCAGGAAAUCUUCUGUUGUAAACACCUUAACAGCGGGACACCAGGGUGGUUUUAUUGGCCAAGCUAGCCAGGCUGUUGAUUUACACGUGCGCAGCGAGCAGUCAGUACAUUAGAGAGUAUAAAUCAGUAAUUUGGAAAAAGCACAGAAUCAUGUCUGAGUAGGAUUGUCCUUCCUGAAUUACUAAUUUGUAUAUUUUUCUGUGAAAAGUCCCUGAUUUGCCUCAGUCUUUUUGUUUAGAGCUGUCAGAAAUUAAUAAUAAAUAUCUGCUAAGAGACUACAUGCCAAACAUUAAGUGGGGAAAAUACAGCAAUGCUAAGACUUUGCCCUUCUAAUGUCUUUAAUCUGAAGAUCUCAGAGGUUUGUUUCUUUAGAAUUCUGCCAACUGACAGCCAUCCUUGACUGUUACAGUUGGGCAAUUCGGGCUUUUAUGAUGCCUCAGCUUAAGGUGUUCAGAGAUUUGUCCGAGGUCACAAAGGGCCCAAGGUGACCAUAAACGUUUUAGGCUCUCGGGACAACGCUGGUGUCUUGCUCUGUGUGCAGUGCACAGCUGAGCUCCUCCAGCAGCCAAAGUCUGUCAGCUUUACUAUAUUGAAAAGAAAAAUAUAUUCUGUGGAGGAAUAAUAAAAUUAUACUGAUGUCAAAUAGAACAAACACCGCUAACAGAACAACUAACUGCUUCUGUGUCUGACAAGUCACGUUCUUCUUGCAGAAACAGUUCGUGUCUCUGAAUUUUUCAUGAGUGGGAGACCAGUUUCUAGCCUGCAAGUUCAAUUUUCAUGGUGAUCUUAAAAGCAAACAAAUGUUCCCAGCAAGAAAAAUUGGCACCAUACAAAGUAAAAGAAUUGCUGAAAACAAACCCAGGAACUGCCCGAGACCAGGAGUUAAAAACAAGGAGGGGCCUGGCUAGAGGGAGAGCAGCGCAGAACCAGCCCUGGAGAAGAAGCUGCAGGGCAGCCUGCAGACGGCCAGAGGACACGGAGCUGGCGACGGCCUCUGCUGCUCUUCCCCUGAGCAUCCGUUCACCGUGUUCUGGGAUCUCGAGCAGCAGGCAGGCUCACCUCUCCAAAAGAGGAGCUUCCAGAAUGUUUUUAGCAGCAGUGAGGUGGUAGAUGGCGCUCAGGAAACAGCCCCUGUACGGCUCCCGCUCUCAGUGCUGCUCUGUCUGAUUCGGGAUUAACGACCACCUCCCCCGAGGUAAGCAGGAGGUGCUCCUGCGGGGUCCCGGCCCUCCCUGCUGGCCCCAGGAGCCCCGCCGAGGCCCCUGCCCGCUUCCAUCUGAACAGGCCUAACGGUACGGCCAGUGUGCAGGAACAAUAAGAUGUCUCAGAAGAAGUCAAGGCAGUCACGCUUUAAUGUGUUUUUACAUCCUUUUACGAUUCACAAAGCCAGAAUAUAAGUACUUAUACAUUUUUAAUAGGAAAGUAAUAUAUUCCCCUAAAAGAAAAAUAGAUUUGAUUAAUCAUUUGUCAUAAAAGUUGCCUGACAGUUGAAACUUCAAGCUUCUAAGCUAGAAAAGCUCAAAUAGACAAAUUAUACUGAAAUGUUCUUUAAAGACCAAGCAGCUGUUUUAUUAAAAUAUUAAAUUUACAUUUUAAAAAGAAAUAUUCUGAUUUAUUAUUCACUUAUGAUAAUCUUUUUGAAGUGACAUGAAAUUCCUGACAAUGGGCUUUAUUCUGCCCGAAUUCUGUCCUCGGUUUCCCACAGGCAAUCAGCCUUGCCAUCAUUUAGAGCUGCGCGAGAUCACGCACACAGAGAAGCACCUUUUUCUGGGAAGACAAAUCCCAGACACUGGAUUUCGGUCCCAUCCUGGUUUUCCCCAGAGCCCGGGGUGCCAGGGCUGGGACCAGGGCCGGCUCCUGCGCCUGCUGCCACGGGGGCCCUGGUUCCGCCCCACAGAGCCCCUCCAGGCGACAGAAAAUGGAUUUCAGAAUACACCAACUUCGGCCCGCAGCACACGUGAAUGACCUUCGAACAACUUGGAGCAGUUCCCAACUGCGUUCGCUCCAGCAGGGCUCGCGCCAGCUGCCGCACGCUUGCUUACGCUCUCAACAGGAUCGUGGAUCAAGGACACAGUUUCAAAGUUGAGGCCCAAAUGGAAAUAGUAAGAUAUCAUACACAGUGUAAGUUUAUAGUACACAGCAUUUUCUUUUUAAAUGACGUAACGCAACAGCAGGAAAGAGGAGGAGUAGUAGUAGUUAACAGUUACUAACACUAGAAUAUUCAAAUUUGUAUGUUAUACAUAUACAGCAACUAACUGCUUUACAAAAAAAGCAAAAUAAUACAAUAUAUUGUCACAUGUAUUUACAGUGUAGUAAAUAUACUUUUCUGUCAAAUUUUACACAAAAACUAUUUACAGGUGAAUAUACUGCAUUAAAAAAAAACGGUGGGACCAACACUAAAAGUGACUUUCUGUGGUAAGUUCGUCGCAUAACAGUAAGACGUGCUUCAUUACAGUUGAAAAAAAAUUAACCUCAGAAUGAAACAAAAAAAAAGCCCUAAAACCUACAACCCAGUUAGGAAUAGAGCACUGGAACGCUCCCAGGUGCUCAGUCCACAAUACGCAAUUGAAACGGUUCCUGUUCGUGGAAACCUCAUGCACAUUAAAGCAGAAACAUUGGCAUCAUUAACAGGUAGGUUAUGCACUAUUCUCAAAUACUACUGAAUUCUCUUAAGUCAGGGAAAACACAAACACAAACAAAACGUUAAUCAUCUUUACAGUACUUAACUGUAGUUAGUGCGUUAUGGAUAACGUGUUCCAAAACAGGGGUGUCAGACAUCCAGUCCCCAUGAUGGGGUUCUGUGGUCCACAUCUUAAAAUGGGGUUUUUCUGACUCGAAGUUGUCAUUUCAGGGGAGGCAGACCCCGCGGCUGCAGAGCCAGGCUGCAGGAGGGGCCCCGCGAAGCCGCCGGCUCCCGCUCGGCCUUUGAGCUCUGAACCCCCCCCCGGUCAGCAGCGAGUCCCUGCUGAGCCCCGCGAGCCCCCGCGGCGGAGCAGGACCCACGGGAAGGGGGAGCAGGGAACGAGGAGGAGAGCAGAAAGGCCAAGCAACAGCAGCGGCUGUUAGCGGGAGCAGGCGAAGCGACGGAUGUGACAGUAAGGCACUGAACAACUAAUUACUAGGAGGAGUUUAAUCAUUAAAGAAAGGCCGUGUUUUCCCCUGAUCCAAGCACAAGCUUCCCAACUCCUGGUAGUGGGGGAUAACGUCCCGGUGGCUGGGGCGCACGGGCUCCGGGAUUGAACCUUGGCCCUCGACUCUGACACCCAAGUUCAGCCCCCACGUGUCUGACACCCCUGCUCUAAGAAAUUCAGCUCCUCUCACUGAACCACGGGUGACAGCAUGAAACGACUCUCCCUCCUUCCAGGAAAUAGAGUAAAUUACAUUUUGUUGGCUGACUUUAUGAAGAUAACGUUUUUUUUUCAGCUGGGACCAAGAGCCUGGAGUAGUUCUAGUUCUCACGUGAAAGGUAAUUUUAAUCACUGUCUACUCUGAUUUCACAUUACAUGCUUUUCAAAGAAUGCAUUCAUCCUAAUUUAGGGACGCUUUCUUUUUUUUUUUUAUAGAGACAAUGCCAAAUAUUGAAAGAGUUGUCCUCAAGCGCACCCAGCCCGAACCAAACCGAUCGGGUAGUUCAGCUGGAAUUACUAUUGCCACGUAAAGAAAAUCUGCUCGGAGUAUAAACGACUGAAAACUAACAGCAAAUUACCAGAGAUCCUUUUUUCCUCCUACCUACAAAUCUUCUGGCUUCUACAGUUCAUUGUCUUCGGCAAAACGGAAAGGGCGGGCUGGGCCGGGCCGGGCGGCAGCGCCAGGGUCGGGAGCGGAGCAGCCCCCACGGCCGCGCAGCUCCCCGCUCCGCUCCUGCCCCCGGCUCCAGCCCCACCGCCAGGACAAACAGCUGCUUAAUUGCACGAGGCUUCGUAUUUUCCGACUGCUAAUUCUGUUUUCUCUUGUUUUAGCAAGCUAUUUGCAUAUUAAGUUUGUGUUCAUAGUUUUUCCAGGACUGUAAACAAAUUAAAGAAAUUAAAUUGUUAUUUUUAUGAAUUGAUACAAUAAAGGUAUUUUUAUUUACAUAAAUGUUACAUUGUUACUGCGUGGAUACAUGUGAAUUAUGUGCUAUAUCAAUAAAAUCCGAACACGUAAUUGUACCAUUCUCUAA